rnacentral:lncRNA from 1 species
CACGCCUCUCCUCAGAACUCUGGAGCAUCCUUCCAAUCAACGUUUCCCAGAUUCCCAUCUUUCAUACAGACCACCCCUCAGUCACAGACCCACAGACCUCUCUUCUGUCUAAACGCCCACACCUGACCUCAUACUCAUCAAUCCCUUGUUUCUCAGGGAUUGAUUGGUUCCCUUGACAUCCAGGGUAACCCAUGCCCAAUUGGAGACCCUGGAGAGAGGAUAAGGGGGUGUCCUGUGUGUCAGUUGGGGAGGGAAUGCAGAGGAGCCACUGGUACCCAACUGGGCUGCCAUGCCCAGUAAUUCCUUGUUAGCUGACUGACUGAUAAAAGAGAGGAUGGUUGUGCUUCCCAGCACCCAGAAAAGCAGGCAAACUCUGGUUUGGGAGGGGAGUAAUCUGUUUCUCUCCCUCAAUUUUCCCCAUGGGGGUGCAAAGCUCAGGAAAGAUCUAGAGGAGUCUACACUUAUUCUGUUGAAGAGGAUAUUGAAAAAUCUUGCUACGAUCUUGACGUCCCCCUAUCUGUCACCACAUCUUUUGCAUUCUCUCCCCACUCCAGUGCCCCCAUGGCCGAGCAGGACUCCCUGAAUUAGCUGGGGCUCCUGGCCCUUAUGGCACAUUCCCCAUGCUCCCAGUGAAUUUUCUUCUGGGUUUUGGAAUGGGCUGAUGGUGAGGACAGGGAAUUGUGUUGUGUCACCAAGAAGAAGAAGGUCAGGAAAGCUAUGGAGAAGUCUCUAAAGAUCAUCAACCAAAAGUUAGUCUUUGGGGUUGAGGAGAUGAGGCCUCUUUAGAUGACCUAGAACCAAACAUGGAUCUUCCAGAACCAAAUGGAUCAUCUAGAACCGGGCAGAACAUCCUAUAUUUCAGGGAUUCUUAGAACCAAAGGAGAGUCUUUUUGGAGGCAGGGGCUAGAAAGCAGGGAGGAAGGUAGAAGUUGAAUUUCUGGAAUCCUCUAAGUGGUUAUCUGGAAGCCAUGGGAAAUGCUGGAUGGGACAGAAGGUGGGGGAAGGAGCAGAAAUGCUCAAGGAAGCCUCUGGCUUGGAGGGUCUCAUGGCUUUCCUGGAAGAGAACCUGGACCUUCUCUCCUUGCCCUCAGUUCUGGCUUGCCAGUGGUGGGGAUGACAAGGGCCCUGUGGUGGUGGCCCAGGAGGCUCAGGCCCAGGCAAUCCUGCAGCAGGUGAGGCUCUGCUGUCCCCCUGCUGCCCUAGCUCCCCCUGCUGCCCUGGCUGGCACUCGGUGGGCCCCUUGGCCCCAUGGGAUACACAGGGUGCCUUGGACCCUUGGUGAGUGAACGGGGUGCUCAGGUGGAGAAUGCUUUAUUUGUGUGUGGGGUGUGGAUAGUUCUGGAAAGGGGCUUCUUUUGGGGAACACCCUGAGGUCAC